UAGCUCAGUUGGUAGAGCAUGGUGUUCGCAAUGUCAGGGUUGUGGGUUCAAUUCCCAC
rnacentral:tRNA from 1 species